rnacentral:lncRNA from 1 species
GGGGCGCAAAACCAAAAUUGAGUGGGUCAGUAAAACAAUUCUUUUCCAAAUCCAAACAUUUCUCAAAACGUUGUAACCCCUCUCCGUAAAACCUGUAUACUUUCCCAGAAAUGUAAAAUAUAAAUAUACAUAUAUAUUCUCAAUACUUUAAUUCAUUAACUCAACAUUUUUUCUUUAUCAAUCAUGCCAUGCCAUGUCUAAUUCAACAGUUAAGUAUGGAUGCAUCAACAAUAAUCAUAUCAGGUGCAAGAAAGUAAUCAACCGGAGGCCCUCUAAUAGCCCUGUACGGUUGAACCUAGAGCUCAAAAUCUAUCACUAUCACUCUACCGGAGUCACCUCUGUGACCCGUCCGGCCUUCUGCACACAAGUUACGCUCUAGUGCUUUCUCAUCAAUCAUCUGUGCACAUAAUCUAAGGUCACCCACCAGUCGAAAUCUCACUAACACUCUUCGACUGGCCCGUCGCACCCACUCCGCGUGGACUGUACGACCAGCAUCUACUUGGAUCCAAGGCGAGCGUGCGAUGCGGUGAAUACUAUAAGCACUAAACCAUGGUGCAGGAUUUGAGCUCAAUAUAUAUCAACAUCAUCAUAACAGUAAUUAAAUACUCACCUGAUACUCACCUGUGCGUCCGCCGCACCAUUCAUUCAUAUGCAUCAUAUCUCAAUUCAUACUUUUCAUAUCAUUUCAUGCAUGGCAAUUCGAUUCACAUUUCUAUAUACUUUUCAUAUACUUUCAUGCAUGACAUUUCAACUAAUAUAUCUCAUAUACUUUUAUACAUUUUCAUUAAAAGCAUAAUUUCAUGCAUUUUCAAUUUCUAGGAAACGGCAAGUAUAUAUGUAUACGGAAAACAAAACUGCCCACUCACCUGGAGUUCGUCCAACAACUCCCUAGCACCACACAUCAAGGCGUCACGACGAUCGCCGCCUAGAAUAGUAAUCAAAUCCAACCUCAGAAUUCAUAUCGAUAGAAUAUAACUUAUAUAAAAUACGUCACUACGUAGAUCGAUCCGGAAGAUCUGCCACUCAGAUUUUAAAUCCAUAACUUCCAGAGGUCCACAAUAUAUCUCUAGGAUAACAUCCUAAAAUUUCAUUACCAUCCAACGGUCGGAUCUCCGUCAAUUUCCAAAACUAAGUGACGGUUAACAUUCUAUAUUAUGGACUUACAACUCCAAUUUCGGAAGAUCCGCAAAUCGGAUUCCCAAUCUGUAAGUUCCUAUAAUCCUCAAAUAUUACGUAUUACAACGUAUCAAAGUUUGGUGAUGAUCCAACGGUCGGAUCAUCAAUUCAUAUUUUCACUUAAAUGCAAAAACUAUAAAACGUUAUUUGAACACCUAACCAACAAUCCUUAAUAACUUUCUCAUACGGUGCUCAAAUUGGGUAUACGAAUAUACCACAGUGAUCUACUCGACGUCACGGACGUCGACAUAUUUUUCAAAUAAUUUUUUACUGUAGCACGCGCCCCCACGCGCCAAGGAAGGCACGGACCUACGCGCCCCCACGCGCACCUUCUUCUUCCUUGGGUCGCCGGACUGGUUUUUCCGGCGGCCGUUUUUCAAAUUGCCAUAACUUUGUCAUUUCUCAACGAAAUCAAGUGAUUCCAAAACGAAAGUUGUAGCCCUUGAAGAUACAAAGAGAAUGGUACCUUGCACAACACCUAGUUCGCCGUGGUUUGGCCGGAAACUGCCUCGAAAGCCUCGGAGGUCGCCGGAAACUGGGUAUUUUUCAAAUGAGUAUAACUUCUUCAAUACUCAACGAAAUUGAGUGAAACAAAAAGGAAAGUUGUAGUACUUGACGAGACGAAGAGAUGGAUACCUACCUCGACUCCUAACUCGCCGGGGAUUCGCCGGAAAAAUCCUCGAAAGCUCCGGCCAAACUUUGAACUUGUCGAUCUCCGUGUUCUUACGUCCAAAAACUUCCAACGAAGCACUCCGAGCUUCCUUGGGACCUCACUAAGCUCGCUGUGAUCUUGUUUUAGCCUAAAUCGUAACCAUUUAAAAGAUCAUGAACAGUGCUCUUCCACGGGGAGUUUAGAAUCUAGGUUUUCCGAAGUAAAACUUACCUGAAAUUGGUGUCUACGUGAUCGUUGAGGUUCCAGGAGUUCAAUGGUGGUCUUAACUCCGUCGUUGGUAUAGAAGUUUAGUGUGGUUUUGGAGCUUGUCCGUGUGAGUUCGAAGGAGAGGGAGAGAGAACUGAGAGUUGCGUGAGGGAGGAGAGAGAGAGGGACAAGGUACGGGAAUUGGGGAAGGUUUUGAGGGAUGUGGGGAUCCCACGUGUCCAACUCAAUCCAAAUUGUUAAAUUUUCACCCCUUAGUCCCGUUUAAGGGCAUUUUCGUCUUUUCACGUCCUCGGAAUUAAAAUUCCGGGACGGGCUGUGACAAUCUUCCCUCCUUAUAGAAUUUCGUCCCCGAAAUUCCAGCAACCAACUAAAUCAACCAUACUCCAACAAUAGCUUCGGGUAAAUCUGUCUCAUCCGAUUCUCUUUCUCCCACAUAAUUUUCUACUGAAUGAUUCAUUCACAAAGCUUUUACUACUUACUCUGUCUUAAUUCUCAGGACCUUCUUUUUCCAAUCCAAAGUCGUCAUUGGUUCCUUAUCAAGUCGAAUCCAAUUUAAUUCUCAAUAGUUGCACCAGAAUCUCUUGUGACGAAUCUGCCACCUAGUGACAACGUAUCGAACCCAAAAUACAUUAAGUACCUUAGCCAACUCUGAAGACAUCACCACUUGUAUGCAACUUUAUUGAUUCCUUUAGUGAUAAAAAAAUGGUCUGAUGUGUCUAAAUCUUAUUUUGUCUCCUUUCCAACCCGAAUUAUACUUUUCUAUGGUGAACACUUCGAAAAUAUAAAACCAUUUGUCUUAUACACUCGAUUAGUGGCAUAUCCCUCUGUUAAUCUCUUUUGCCAUUCCUGGUUACUUUCAAGUUAACUUAAUCACCUGAAUACUUUGAGGAGACUCAUCCAUAGUCUCAGGGCCUACAAAAACUCUUUCGUGAUCAAAUCUUUUUCUAUUCAGAAGCAUUUCAUUCACACGACACGCUUCAGGGACCCUAUGGCGUUAUUUCGGAAACUGCGCACCCAACAUACUUAAGAAACUCAGCAGUUCCGUAAUCCAAUUCUCUUUUCCAUAAAACAAAUAAGUACUGUUACUCAACACUGGAGUAAAUGUACUAACUUGGUACAUUGACCAAUUAUCACUUCAAAUUCGAUCAUAACCAUCCUAUGUACAAGGAAACUUGUACACAUAAUCCAAAGUAAUAUCUUUCCAUUUCCACUGCGAAACAGAAAAUAGUUAUCCCAAUCCAAAGGUUUAUCUUUUUCUGCCUCAAUCUGCUGACCAAAUAAAACUGUCGAAUGGUAUGAUAAAUCUUAUUACUUUUGGAAUAUUACAGAAGUUGAACAGUGAACUUCGUCCAAUUUUUGCUUGCUUCAAAUCCUCAGCAUUAGGCACAUACUUUUUGUUUUCUUGUAUCCACAUACCAUUUGAUUCACGAAUCAUGUACUCAUUCUUUUUCCCUUCUUUCUCUGCCUUGGUUAAUUCUUAAAUUUCCUCGUCAAACAUUUAAGUUUCGAGUACGACCUUACCAAACAGGCCUAACUUGAAAUUUAACAAAUAUAACUUCUUCUCGAUCUUCCAUUCUUAAUUUUUCUUCCGUUGGUUUUCAAUCCACAAGAUGAUACUCUUGGCAAACGUGCCAGACAUUAAUCUUACUGUAGUCUUCUCACCAAGUGCUUCAGCUAGAACAAACUUUACGAUCACCCUGAUCGUACAAUCAUGUUCAUUAAGCAAUACAAUUCACUUUCGCUGCCUCAUAUCAAAAUCCUUCCAAGUAAUGGAUAUUGAAGACUUUUUGGAUUCGUAAAAAAAAUCUUGCAUUCUUACUAAAAUAUAAUGUCUCCAUAACUUCACAGCAAGGAUGGUAAUCGUGACUUCCAAAUCACCAGUAGGGUAAUUCAUCUUAUGAGGUUCCAUUUGUCGUGAAACGUAUGCAAUCACCCUAACAUUUGCAUUAAUACAUAUCCAAGAACAUUUAAUGUAACAUCACCAUAUACCGAUAAUUAUCGCUAUCUUCUGGGAAUAUUAAAAUACGUGCAUGAGUGAGGAAAUACUUCAGUUGUUGAAUCCUUUGCUCACAAUUUCCUUCCCACUCAUACAUAACCUCUUUUCUCAACAGUCUCGUCAAUGACAAAGCAAUGACUGAAAAAUCUUUCACAACCAUCCAAGAUAGCCUGGUAAGUUAAGAAAUUCCAAAUCUCAAUUACGACUCGUGGUUGUUCCAAUUCCUCAAUUUCUACUAUCUUUUAAGAAUUCAUUUGAAUACCUUAAGCAGAUAUACAAAUCUCAGAAUGCCACCUGAUUCAUCUAACUUUAGCAUUUGCUACUUAGCAUACAACCAACGUUCUCUCAAUCUUUGCUUCACCAACUUAAUAUGUUUACAUGCUUUGCUCUGGCUCAGAAUAUGCCAGAAUAUCUUCAAUGAAAAUGAUAUCAAGGCAUUAUUGGAAUACUUCAUCCAUCAACUCAUAAAACAGCAUGAGUAUCCAUAUAGCAUCACCAAACUUCAUCAAGACUAUAACGAGUCCAGAAAAACAAUCUUAGGAACAACGUUACUCAUAAUCUUCAAUUGAUAAUAAACAGACCUCAAGUCAAUCUUUGAAAAUAUACAAGCACCUUUGAACUGAUCAAAGGAGCGUCAAUACACCACAAUGGAUAACGGUUCUCAUUCGUUACCCGAUUCCAUUAUCUAUAAUCAAUGAACAAUCUCUAAGUCCAUUUCCUUUCUCACCAACAAACUGGUGCUCCUCAACAGUGUUGUACUAUGUUGAAUAAAACUUUUAUCAACCAAUUCUCUCAACUGAAUUUCCAAUUCCCUUAACUCAUCAUGAACCAAUCUUUAACAUAAAUUUAUACCCGGCAACAAAUCAAUAAUGAACCUCAUAUCUCUGCCUGAAGACAAUCCAGGUAUACUUUCAGGGAAGACAUCAAGAAAAGUCUAACCCCUUUUUCAUUUUUCACACUUCUCCGAGCAACAUCCUUUAGUACCACAUGAACUAAGUAUUUUUUUUUGACAUCCUUUCGAAAACAAUCUCUUUGCUCUCACAGCAUAAAUAACGGCCUGACUCAAUCCACUUUGCAUACUUACAAAAAUAAUCUCUGGUCAUCCAGAUCGAUGGAAAGUACUGGUUUCCCGUAACAUUCCAUCUAGUCACAACUAUAAACAAUCACUCUAAUGGAAUAAAAUUAAUUGACCCAAUACAUACUUUAUCAUUACUGAACAUUCUAAAUAAGUACAACACUAACAUAAAAUAAUUUACCGGGUUGCUUGCUUAACGAAUCCACGAAUAAGUUAUUAAUAUUACGGUCUGCAGCCCGCAAUACUGAUAAAUCAUUGUUGUCUCGAUAAGUAAGAAACCACUCUCAAAGAUAUAACAUUACUAUUUUGUCACUCAAUGAAAAAUACUUACACUCGUCUCAACUACAUUUAUUUACUACUCUCAAGGUAAUAACAUACAUAAUAAGAAAUAUAUCAGCCGAAGUCAACUAGAAUGACCAAUACGACUGAUUCAACUCUUAUCUCAAUAAUACGUCGGCCGGAUCCACUCCGCGUGGUCGGUACGGCCGAGCCUAUAACUCACCAAUUUCUCAUGUGUCAAUCGAAUCCACUUCUCAUGGUCUGUACGGCUGAACAUAUAACUCAUCAAAUCUCUCCGUACUCACGGUCAAUCCGACCAAACUACUAAAUCCAUAACUCUGCUGAAUCAACACUAUGAUAUCAUGGAAAAUUGUUGAGUACAACUGAUUCUAGGGACGAUUCACAAUUCUGUGUCCCCUCUGUUCACAUAAACACAUUCAUUAAUUUCACAUUUCCCAAAGUGUUAAUUUUUGUACCUGCUGCACAAGGUACAUUUCCUUUACUCGAGACACCUUGUCUCAAAUAUCUGGGAUUACCAGUAUAUCCAUCACUUUUACUCUGACCAGCGACAAUAAAACCUCAGCUGGAAGAAUUAAUUCUAGCUUCACUUCUUUUUAAACUCUGAAUCCUUCGAUAUUCUUGAUAUGACGAAUCAUUAACUUUAUCGUCUUCUUUUGAUUCCCAUUCAUUUCUUAUUCUUCUUUAUUCUCAUUGAUCAUGUUCUCAGAGUCCUCAAGGCUCAACAACAUCUUGUAUACUCCUGGUAAGAAGUACAAUGGAUAGUGGUCACCCAAAAUACCACUUCCCUUUUUGCCACCCAGCUUAAAACAAUAUAACACCUCCACCAAAUUAACAACAAUAUCUGGAUGGAACGAGGCAAGUCUGAAAACUUUCUAUAAUAUUCAUUUAUCGUCAACUUCCUUAAUUCACAUUUGCAAACUCUUGCUUACUACCAUCGAUAAAUGCCGGAGGGAUAAACUUUUCCUUAAACAAUUUUAAAUCGGCUGUUCCUCCGAUGACAACAAAUCAUACUCCUGUUUCCACCAGGAUACAAAUUCAUACCCAAAACCAGGUAGUCGUCUCGACCCCCCUGUCAGAAGGAAGAUUCCUUUGACUUGCAUAAUCUGAAACAUCUUUUCCAAAUGGUUAAACCGUUACUUCGCUCCCUCAGGUUCAUCAUUUCAUAAGGUGAUUCAAAUUCGACUCAUAACCCGUCUUAAAAUGUCCAUUUUUAUAAUAUACUGAAUCACCAUAAUAAUAGUUUUCCCUAAACCGCUAUAUUAGGGAGACUAAAUUCCUCUAACUAAGUGGCUUGCUACGAGGCGGUGUAGUUCUGACAGAAUUCACUAGAACUUCUCAAGAUGUCCAAGAUUGCAACCAUGCUCUGAUACCAACUGACACACCCCGUCCCGAAGGAGGGCAUGCUGGCCGUCACGUGAGAGUGACGUAACCAUUUGCACAGUACGGAAGCUUUAAGAUACAAUUUAUAAGUUGAUACACCCGAAGGUGAGUCCUAAUUUUGUCCAAUCUGUCAGAACACCGUCGAAUUCCUCGUAGUCACCACACCUUUGUGAUUCCUGAACCUGGAGGGGCGCAAAACCAAAAUUGAGUGGGUCAGUAAAACAAUUCUUUUCCAAAUCCAAACAUUUCUCAAAACGUUGUAACCCCUCUCCGUAAAACCUGUAUACUUUCCCCAGAAAUGUAAAAUAUAAAUAUACAUAUAUAUUCUCAAUACUUUAAUUCAUUAACUCAACAUUUUUUCUUUAUCAAUCAUGCCAUGCCAUGUCUAAUUCAACAGUUAAGUAUGGAUGCAUCAACAAUAAUCAUAUCAGGUGCAAGAAAGUAAUCAACCGGAGGCCCUCUAAUAGCCCUGUACGGUUGAACCUAGAGCUCAAAAUCUAUCACUAUCACUCUACCGGAGUCACCUCUGUGACCCGUCCGGCCUUCUGCACACAAGUUACGCUCUAGUGCUUUCUCAUCAAUCAUCUGUGCACAUAAUCUAAGGUCACCCACCAGUCGAAAUCUCACUAACACUCUUCGACUGGCCCGUCGCAACCCACUCCGCGUGGACUGUACGACCAGCAUCUACUUGGAUCCAAGGCGAGCGUGCGAUGCGGUGAAUACUAUAAGCACUAAACCAUGGUGCAGGAUUUGAGCUCAAUAUAUAUCAACAUCAUCAUAACAGUAAUUAAAUACUCACCUGAUACUCACCUGUGCGUCCGCCGCACCAUUCAUUCAUAUGCAUCAUAUCUCAAUUCAUACUUUUCAUAUCAUUUCAUGCAUGGCAAUUCGAUUCACAUUUCUAUAUACUUUUC